ACGGAAGGCAGCAGUGGGGAAUAUUGCACAAUGGGCGAAAGCCUGAUGCAGCGACGCCGCGUGAGCGAUGAAGUAUUUCGGUAUGUAAAGCUCUAUCAGCAGGGAAGAUAAUGACGGUACCUGACUAAGAAGCACCGGCUAAAUACGUGCCAGCAGCCGCGGUAAUACGUAUGGUGCAAGCGUUAUCCGGAUUUACUGGGUGUAAAGGGUGCGUAGGUGGUAUGGCAAGUCAGAAGUGAAAACUAUGGGCUCAACCCAUAGACUGCUUUUGAAACUGUCAAACUAGAGUACAGGAGAGGAAAGAAGAGUUCCUAGUGUAGCGGUGAAAUGCGUAGAUAUUAGGAGGAAUACCAGUGGCGAAGGCGUCUUUCUGGACUGUUACUGACACUGAGGCACGAAAGCGUGGGGAGCAAACAGGAUUAGAUACCCUGGUA
rnacentral:rRNA from 1 species